rnacentral:tRNA from 1 species
GCAGUGAUGGUUCAGUGCUAGAAUGCUUGCCUUCCAUGCAGGAGAACUGGGUUCAAUUCCCGGCCAAGGCA